UCCCCAUUCGACCCGUCU
rnacentral:snRNA from 1 species